rnacentral:rRNA from 1 species
CCUACGGGAGGCAGCAGUGGGGAAUAUUGGGCAAUGGAGGCAACUCUGACCCAGCAACGCCGCGUGAAUGAUGAAGGUCUUCGGAUUGUAAAGUUCUGUGAUGGGGGAUGAACACAAUGACGGUACCCCAAUAGCAAGCCACGGCUAACUACGUGCCCGCAGCCGCGGUAAUACGUAGGGGGCAAGCGUUAUCCGGAAUGACUGGGCGUAAAGGGUGCGUAGGUGGUUUAGUAAGUUGGCGGUGUAAUUCCGGGGCUCAACCUCGGCGCUACCGCCAAAACUAGUAGACUAGAGUGCAGGGGGGGUAAGUGGAAUUCCUAGUGUAGCGGUGGAAUGCGUAGAUAUCAGGAGGAACAGCAGUGGCGAAGGCGACUUACUGGACUGCAACUGACACUGAGGCACGAAGGCGCGGGGAGCAAACAGGAUUAGAUACCCGUGUAGUC